rnacentral:rRNA from 1 species
GGCUUAACACAUGCAAGUCGAGGGGCAGCAUGGUCUUAGCUUGCUAAAGUGCCGAUGGCGACCGGCGCACGGGUGAGUAACACGUAUCCAACCUGCCGUCUACUCUUGGACAGCCUUCUGAAAGGAAGAUUAAUACAAGAUGGCAUCAUGAGUCCGCAUGUUCACAUGAUUAAAGGUAUUCCGGUAGACGAUGGGGAUGCGUUCCAUUAGAUAGUAGGCGGGGUAACGGCCCACCUAGUCUUCGAUGGAUAGGGGUUCUGAGAGGAAGGUCCCCCACAUUGGAACUGAGACACGGUCCAAACUCCUACGGGAGGCAGCAGUGGGGAAUAUUGGUCAAUGGGCGAGAGCCUGAACCAGCCAAGUAGCGUGAAGGAUGACUGCCCUAUGGGUUGUAAACUUCUUUUAUAAAGGAAUAAAGUCGGGUAUGGAUACCCGUUUGCAUGUACUUUAUGAAUAAGGAUCGGCUAACUCCGUGCCAGCAGCCGCGGUAAUACGGAGGAUCCGAGCGUUAUCCGGAUUUAUUGGGUUUAAAGGGAGCGUAGAUGGAUGUUUAAGUCAGUUGUGAAAGUUUGCGGCUCAACCGUAAAAUUGCAGUUGAUACUGGAUAUCUUGAGUGCAGUUGAGGCAGGCGGAAUUCGUGGUGUAGCGGUGAAUGCUUAGAUAUCACGAAGACUCCGAUUGCGAAGGCAGCCUGCUAAGCUGCAAC